rnacentral:lncRNA from 1 species
AUGGAACCUGCCAUCUCAUGGAUUCGUUAGCCACUGAGUCACGACGGGAACUCCUGGUGCGUGUUUUUAUUUUUGUUUUUGUUUUUGCUUUUGAGGGCUGCACCUGCAGCAUAUGGAAGUUCCCAGGCGAGGGGUCGAAUUGGAGCUACAGCUGCCAGCCUAUGCCACAGCCACAGCAGAGCAGGAUCUGAGCCAAGUCUGCACCCUACACCACAGCUCACAGCAACACCGGAUCCUUAACCCACUGAGUGAGGCCAGGAUAUGAACCCGAAUCCUUGUGGAUACUAGUUGCAUUCGUAACCCACUGAGCCACAAGGGGACUUUUAACCCAGUGAGAUCCAUUUCAGACUUCUGACCUCCUGCACUAGAAUAGGUAAUAAAUUGAGGAUGUUCUAACUUGCCAAGUUUGGGGUAGUUUGUUAUAGCAGCAAUUGGAAACAGAUACACUGUGUCAUAGGUAAGAGGAGUCUGGGAGCCCAGAAGUGGAAGUAAGAGCGUCCUGCUUACCAUCACUCCUAGCCACCCACUUGGGGAAUUCAUGCUUCCCACAACCCUGGGUUUAAAGCCUAGCACCAUGAAGAAGGCUUCUGUCAAGGAACACAGCAAGGGUUCCAUGAAUUAUGGCUAGAGAUGCCUCCCGAGCCGAGGGGCCAGCAAGCAAGAAGAGUCCCCAUCUUGGCAGGGGUAACAGACCCUGGUCACCAGAAAGAGGUAGCGUUUUGGUUACACAGUGGGAGCAUGGAGAAAUAGAUUUGGUGCCUGGUGAAUUCAUUUGCUGGUUGGUAUUCCCCAGCCCAACUUGGACAGUAAGCGGGCAAGUGCAAGAACUCUGAGAAGGUCAUGAUGGCCAGUUGCAGGCCCCUCAGGAAUGAGGGCCUGGUUACUUUACCAGGUAAACCCCUGAGACCAGAAGAGUCACUAGCUGAGGGUGGGGGAAAUCCAGAAUCAAAAAAGGAAGCCAGAAGUUCCUAUCAUGGCGCAGCAGAAACGAAUCUGGCUGGGAACCAUGAAGUUUGAUCCCUGGCCUUAGUGGGUUAAGGAUCCGGCGUUGCCGUGAGCUGUGGUGUAGGUCCCAGAUGUGGCUCAGAUCCUGUGUUGCUGUGGUGCAGGCCAGCAGCUGUAGCUCUGAUUCGACCCCUAGCUUGGGAACCUCCACAUGCCACGGGUGCAGUCCUAAAAAGAAAAAAAAAAAAAUUAAGAAAAGGAAGGCAAGUAAGUAUCCAUUGUAGCCUCCAGACCUGCUGCAGCAGUGGGGGCUGUAAUUAAUCCCACUCGCCUUCCUCUUCUAUAUCCCCCCAGGAGGGGCACGCCAGAAUCCUGGAGGAAUGGCUCCCUGGACAUCUAUGAAAAAAUGGAGCCCAGUCAUGGCAGGAAUGGUUGUGUCAGAUAGUUCCUGCACCACCAGAUCCCCCUUCUGUAAGAAAGCACUUAUUCCCCCAGCCUCUGGGAGUGUUGCCUGCAGAAAGCCUGUAGCCAUCAGCUCCCAUCAGACAAUGCCUCGGGGAAGAGAGGCGCCUCGUCCAAGGUUGCACCCCUCGUCCAAGCGCCAAUAUGGUGGCCUGGAUGCCCAGCAUGCUUGCCUCAGACCUCCUGCAAUAAUCUCCACUUUAGAGGGGACUUCCCAAGGUGCACACCCCGCAGCAGAGCACGAGGGGAAGCACGGAAAUAGGGUUGGAGGAGAGGGGGCCAGUCCUCACAUGUCAUGUUCGCUCAGACGCUGGCGAGGGUGGUGUUCUUCCCCUUCUCUUAGAGCAAAGGGACGACUCGGCAAGGUUUAAGUAAGCAGUUCUAUGCUCUUUUGCAAAGAUCCCUUUUGCUGUCAUGAGGACAAUAAAUUGUGAGGUCGAGGUUGACACGAGACUGGAAGCAUCGAGCCGCAAGCAGCCAGGCCAGGGAAGGAACCAGAGCUUCAGGUACUACACGUGAUCUUAGCCAAAAGGCCGAGAAGCAAUGGAACCGGAGCUUCAGCAGCAACCCGAGGCAACACCAGCAGACCCUGAAUCCGCUGCACCACAGCAGGAACUCUCCUAACAUCUCCAAGGCUGAAAAAGACUCAAGUUAAUUUCUCCCUCACUCUGUGAGGCCCACGCAGGUCAGCAGGGACUCAUCGGGGUCACUUGGGAACUGGGUGGGUGGACGUUCCAUCGUGAAACCAGCUUCCAUAACUUCCGGGGCUGGGAAGCCAGGGGGGCUUGGCACACCAGCCCCUCAGGCUCGUCUCCCAUUUGAGGAGGGGGUCUUGCCUAACUGCGGAGGAGGCAGGGAGGGACAAUGCUGCCACGGAGCCUGCAGAGGAAGAGAGCUGGGAGCUCUUGGGCGGCACAGAUGGCCAUCAUGUGAGGAAGGGGGAGGGGUGGCUGAGAAAAGCCCUUCAAAUGACGAGGACAUGGGUCUCUGGUAACCUAAGGAAGAGCUGUUUGGUGGCUUUAAGGAAUUAAAGGCCAAAAGGUGACUGGAAUUGAUUAAGGAGGGACUGGAAGGUGAGUAGGAGCCCAUUCUUUCCAUCACGUCCACUGGGAGGGUGGAACGAGGCCGGGACGGGGCUGGAAGAGGAUGCCGGAACAUGAAAAGUUUAGUUUUUUAGUGGGAGAUGCUGCACAUGGGUGAAGAUCAACAGAAAGGAUCCAUUGAAAGGAUUCACAGUGUUCCCACUGUGGCUCAGCAGAAAUGAACCCGACUAGUAUCCAUGAGGCCUUGUUCAGUGGGUUAAGGAUCCAGCGUGGUCAUAAGCUGUGGUGUAGGCUGGCUGCUGCAGCUCUGAUUCGACCCCUAGCCUGGGAACAUCCAGGUGCUGUGAGUGUGGCCCUAAAAAAAAAAAAAAAAAGAAAAGAAAAA